GAGUUUGAUCGUGGCUCAGAUUGAACGCUGGCGGCGUGCUUAACACAUGCAAGUCGUGCGAGAAAGGGGGCUUCGGUCCCUGAGUAGAGCGGCGCACGGGUGAGUAACGCGUGGAUUAUCUCCCUCAUUGUUUGGGAUAACGGCGGGAAACUGCCGCUAAUACCGGAUACGCUCCAAUUUCGGUUGGGGGAAAGGCGGCCUCUGCUUGCAAGCUGUCGCAAUGAGAUGAGUCCGCGUCCCAUUAGCUUGUUGGUGGGGUAAUGGCCCACCAAGGCAACGAUGGGUAGCUGGUCUGAGAGGAUGAUCAGCCACACUGGAACUGAAACACGGUCCAGACUCCUACGGGAGGCAGCAGUGGGGAAUAUUGCGCAAUGGGGGAAACCCUGACGCAGCGACGCCGUGUGAGGGAAGAAGGCUUUCGGGUCGUAAACCUCUGUCAGGAAGGAAGAACCUCUCAAGGCUGAACAAGCCUUGGGACUGACGUACUUCCAGAGAAGCACCGGCUAAC
rnacentral:rRNA from 1 species